CCGUCUUGAAACACGGACCAAGGAGUCUAACAUGUACGCGAGUCAUUGGGUCACACUAAACCUAAAGGCGCAAUGAAAGUGAAGGCAGCCUCGGGUUUGUCUAGGUAGGAUCCUUUUCUCUUCGAGAUGAGGCGCACUACCUGCCCGYCUCGUCCGCGUUGCGGUGAGGCGGAGCUAGAGCGCACACGUUGGGACCCGAAAG
rnacentral:rRNA from 1 species